rnacentral:rRNA from 1 species
UACGUAGGGGGCUAGCGUUGUCCGGAAUCAUUGGGCGUAAAGCGCGUGUAGGCGGCCCGGUAAGUCCGCUGUGAAAGUCCAGGGCUCAACCCUGGGAUGCCGGUGGAUACUGUCGGGCUCGAGUCCGGAAGAGGCGAGUGGAAUUCCUGGUGUAGCGGUGAAAUGCGCAGAUAUCAGGAGGAACACCAAUGGCGAAGGCAGCUCGCUGGGACGUGACUGACGCUGAGGCGCGAAAGCGUGGGGAGCAAACAGG